GAUGAACGCUGGCGGCGUGCCUAAUACAUGCAAGUCGAGCGAACAGACUAGGAGCUUGCUCCUCUGACGUUAGCGGCGGACGGGAGAGUAACACGUGGAUAACCUACCUAUAAGACUGGGAUAACUUCGGGACACCGGAGCUAAUACCGGAUAAUAUAUUUAACCGCAUGGUUCAAUAGUGAAAGACGGUUUUGCUGUCACUUAUAGAUGGAUCCGCUCCGCAUUAGCUAGUUGGUAAGGUAACGGGUUACCAAGGCAACGAUGCGUAGCCGACCUGAGAGGGUGGUCGGCCACCUGGGAACUGAGACGCGGUCCAUGCUCCUGAGGGAGGCCGCAGUAGGGUAUCGGCCGCAGUAGUGGGAAACCUUACGGAACAGCGGCACGCGUGUUGUGGAGGUCCUGGGUGCGGAAAGACCGGUUUCUAGGGAAGAACAAAUGUGGAAGUAACUAUGCCCGUCUUGACGGUACCUAAUCAGAAAGCCACGGCUAACUACGUG
rnacentral:rRNA from 1 species